AUACGGAGGAUCCGAGCGUUAUCCGGAUUUAUUGGGUUUAAAGGGUGCGUAGGUGGUUUGAUAAGUCAGCGGUGAAAGUUUGCAGCUUAACUGUAAAAAUGCCGUUGAAACUGUCGGACUUGAGUGUAAAUGAGGUAGGCGGAAUGCGUGGUGUAGCGGUGAAAUGCAUAGAUAUCACGCAGAACUCCGAUUGCGAAGGCAGCUUACUAAGCUACAACUGACACUGAAGCACGAAAGCGUGGGGAUCAAACAGGAUUAGAUACCCUGGUAGUCCACGCAGUAAACGAUGAUUACUAGCUGUCUGCGAUACACAGUAAGCGGCACAGCGAAAGCGUUAAGUAAUCCACCUGGGGAGUACGCCGGCAACGGUGAAACUCAAAGGAAUUGACGGGG
rnacentral:rRNA from 1 species